UACGGGGGGGGCAAGCGUUGUUCGGAAUUACUGGGCGUAAAGGGCUCGUAGGCGGCCAACUAAGUCAGACGUGAAAUCCCUCGGCUUAACCGGGGAACUGCGUCUGAUACUGGAUGGCUUGAGAUUGGGAGAGGGAUGCGGAAUUCCAGGUGUAGCGGUGAAAUGCGUAGAUAUCGAGAGGAACAUCGGUGGCGAAGGCGGCCUUCUGGACGGUGACUGACGCUGAGACGCGAAAGCGUGGGGAGCAAACAGG
rnacentral:rRNA from 1 species